UGCUGUUGUUCCGAGAUUCUCUACCAGCUACAGGUUGACAGGUGAACUCUUACCAGUUUAACACGCUGUCUUCCGAGGCGACCCCUUCGUUGAGAAGUUCUCGCACUUUCAAGGGCGAUACAAGAGGAGAUUUGGUUUGUUUUUCGCCGUUUUCUGGCCGAUUUGCGCGGCUGCCAAGCGCCGCCAUGUUUGGUGUCUGUCUCUAAACCCUCCCGCAGCAAAAGAUAAAC
rnacentral:lncRNA from 1 species